rnacentral:lncRNA from 1 species
AUCAUUCAUGUGCAUAUCCUCUUCUGCCGGCUCAUAUUCCUUAUUCUGUUCCUCCAUGCUAUCCUCAGGCAACUAUAUAAGAAAUUGUAUACAUAAAUGCGUACAUGUUGUUUGCUGUCCUAUCCAUUAAAUAUACUAAUUUUGACAAAUGACAACAAUGGUGUAUGGAGAUUUCAGAAAUGAGAUACUUGCUGUCCAUGAAAAAAAUUAAUGUUGACAUGCUAAAAAUAUACAAGGUAUCCAUUUAAGUCCAUGAAACAUAUUAAUUUCUCCAUGCUAUAAAAUACACAAGCUGUCAUGAAACAUAUUAAUUUUGACAUGCUAUAAAACUACACAAACUGUCCAUGAAUCAUAUUAAUUUCUCCAUGCUAUAAAACUACACAAGCUGUCCAUGAAUCAUAUUAAUUUCUCCAUGCUAUGAAACUACACAAGCUGUCCAUGAAAAUUAACAUGAUGUUAACCUCCACUAGAACACUACUCAACAACAAAAGCAUCCAUCCAAGAAAUUACUCAUGAACAUGUGCCUGAAUUACUCAUGAACCGCAUCCAUCGGAAAAAAAAAAAUCAAUUUCUCACCUCUUCCUCUUCUUCUUCCACGGUCGUCCCUGAAGCAGCAGCACCGCGGGCGCCGGCCCUGGAGGAGAUUCUGGAACCAGAUGCCACCGCAGAACCAGAUGCCAUGGCCUGGUCAGUGGGAGACUGGCGGUGACCAUGGCGAGGAGGAGGAGGAGGAAGACCCUGACCCCUACGUCGCGUUGCCGAGCUGGUGCUGCUGCUGCAGGAGCGUCAGUGAGCACAAUCGUUGGGUUCGACUUCGAGCGAAUCUUGCCG